UGAGCAACCUGCCCCGAAGACCGGGAUAACACCGGGAAACCGGUGCUAAUACCGGAUGCCCUCAUCAUGUCGCAUGGCGAGAUGAGGAAAUGGAUUCCGCUUCGGGAUGGGCUCGCGGCUUAUCAGCUUGUUGGUGAGGUAAUGGCUCACCAAGGCUACGACGAGUAGCUGGUCUGAGAGGGCGAUCGGCCACACGUGGGCCUGAGACACGGCCCAGAUCCCGUACGGG
rnacentral:rRNA from 1 species